rnacentral:tRNA from 1 species
GCCCCCGUGGCCUAAUGGCUAAGGCGUAAGACUUCGUACGUCCAAGUUUGACUCUCAGCCUCUCCACCGCACUCGCUAAUUGCUCCCGUAGUAUCAUGACAUCUUAAGAUUGCGGGUUCGAGUCCCGCCGGGGGUU